AACGAACGCUGGCGGCAGGCCUAACACAUGCAAGUCGAACGAGGUAGCAAUACCUAGUGGCGCACGGGUGAGGAACACGUGGGAAUCUCCCUUCUAGUAUGGGAUAACACCGGGAAACUGGUGCUAAUACCGUAUGGUCCCUCCGGGGUAAAGAUUUAUCGCUAGAAGAUGAGCCCGCGUAAGAUUAGCUAGUUGGUGAGGUAAUGGCUCACCAAGGCUACGAUCUUUAGCUGGUCUUAGAGGACGAUCAGCCACACUGGAACUGAGACACGGUCCAGACUCCUACGGGAGGCAGCAGUGGGGAAUCUUGGACAAUGGGGGAAACCCUGAUCCAGCCAUGCCGCGUGAGUGAUGAAGGCCUUCGGGUUGUAAAGCUCUUUUGUGUGGGAAGAUAAUGACUGUACCACAAGAAUAAGCCCCGGCUAACCUCGUGCCAGCCGCCGCGGUAA
rnacentral:rRNA from 1 species